AUGGGGUUCUGUUGGCUUCAUC
rnacentral:miRNA from 1 species